rnacentral:rRNA from 1 species
CCAAUAGCGUAUAUUAAAGUUGUUGCAGUUAAAAAGCUCGUAGUUGAAUUUCGGGAUCAGUAGGUCGGUCAUGCCUCAGGUAUGUACUGGUCUCACUGGUUCCUCCUUCCUGAUGAACCGUAAUGCCAUUAAUUUGGUGUUGCGGGGAAACUGGACUGUUACUUUGAAAAAAUUAGAGUGUUUAAAGCAGGCUAACGCUUGAAUACAUUAGCAUGGAAUAAUGAAAUAGGACGUUCGAUCCUAUUUUGUUGGUUUCUAGGAUUGACGUAAUGAUUAAUAGGGAUAGUUGGGGGCAUUAGUAUUCAAUUGUCAGAGGUGAAAUUCUUGGAUUUAUUGAAGACUAACUACUGCGAAAGCAUUUGCCAAGGAUGUUUUCAUUAAUCAAGAACGAAAGUUAGGGGAUCGAAGACGAUCAGAUACCGUCGUAGUCUUAACCAUAAACUAUGCCGACUAGGGAUCGGAUGAUGUUAAUUUUUUAAUGACUCAUUCGGCGCCUUACG